rnacentral:lncRNA from 1 species
GCGCGGAAAUGGGAAUGUAUACUCCCAUUUUUAACAUAUUGUAUUACAGCGAAAUGUAAAUGAGUAUGUAGAUAAAGGUAAUAUCUGUGACUAGCUUUCUUGCUAGCUGAAGCGUGAAGUCAUUAUUAUUACACUACACUCCGUUCGUUCGGAGGAGUCUAGUCCUACAGACAGAUAGGUCAGUUAACUGUCGGAUUCGAAUACUCUUAUAAAAGUGUCUAUCUAACCUAAUUAUGACUUCCCAGUUCAGCUGACAGGCAAGCUAGUACACAAUGAAUUUUGCUGUUACACAUGUUCACCUUUAACAUAUUAGAUUUACGCAUUUUCACCUCAUACGUACUGUAUUUACGCAUUUCAGUUUUUAUGCUAUGUAAUUGUCUUGAAUUGGUUUCUCAACAAAGAAAGACACGCUGACUAUAAUCAACGAUUUAGGGCUCUACGUGGUAAAGCCGAAUUCUAUAGUAGGUUAUCAAUAAUGGUGAACUAUAUUGAGUUGCACUUCAAGAAAAUAUAUACUAGUAGUAAAGUUUAUUCCAGACAGUACGUAACACUCACAGUAUGAUAUAUACAUACUGAUAAUAUAAACUUAUCGUGUCAAGGGUCAAUUAAUGUCACCAUUCAAUAAAACGCAUUUGGUCUUUAGUUAUUUAAAAUCUGUAUUCUACCCCAAUCCGAAAUUUCUAUCAAUAGAGAAGUAGUGUAUUAUCCUUGAGCGCAAAUUCUUCGGAAAACCAAAGCUGUUUGUAAACAAAUGUGUAGACUGGAUGACAUUCAAAAUCUUAAACAAAAACAGAGGAUUAUCACUAUACGUAUGGCCUUUCGUCACCUCUCCUAGCUAAUCAUAUUGUUAAAGACAAAAGGUUCCGUAGUAUAUUUUAGCUUAUAACAAACGAAUGUGUAAGUUGCCAAAAAUCAAACAAAUGUCUGCGAAAAAAAAAAAUCAUUUAAAAUGGAUCCGUACAUGAACACUGACCACAUUGUUUCUGAAAUGACAUGUAUGCAGAUCUUCAUUUUAAGCACGACUGUGUUUACAAUUAGCAACACACACCAUAAAACUAGUUUAUAUUACGAUAAUGCACGCCUGAAACAAAUUUUUUUUUAACAUUUCUUUUUAUGUUUCAAAAGUAUAUAGCUUCGAAUUGAGUUUUUACAUUGAAUAUUUUUUUUUUUAUAAAAUGAAAAAAAAAGUAUGAGAAAUUGACCAUUUGUUUUACAUAUCAUAACAAAAAGCAAUAUGAAUUACAACUGUCGACCAAAAAGUGACUCAAUAACACUUAGAGGGGUGUCUCUUGUGACUUUCUUUUCACAAAAAAAAAUGUUCAGCGAUCGUGUUUGAGAGAACAUAGUGGAAGAUAUUAGCAAGCAAAAUCGAUGGAAUUGUGCAAAUGAUGAUACAAGCAUGAAAAUUACCACAAAGCAUCAUUAUUAUAUACUUCGUAAGAAAUAACUGCUGGCCAUUAAAAAAAAAAAUUUCAAGAUGGCCACGGCCAUUUUC